rnacentral:rRNA from 1 species
AAGCCACGGCUAACUACGUGCCAGCAGCCGCGGUAAUACGUAGGUGGCAAGCGUUGUCCGGAUUUAUUGGGCGUAAAGCGAGCGCAGGCGGUUUUUUAGGUCUGAUGUGAAAGCCUUCGGCUUAACCGGAGAAGGGCAUCGGAAACCGGGAGACUUGAGUGCAGAAGAGGACAGUGGAACUCCAUGUGUAGCGGUGAAAUGCGUAGAUAUAUGGAAGAACACCAGUGGCGAAAGCGGCUGUCUGGUCUGUAACUGACGCUGAGGCUCGAAAGCAUGGGUAGCAAACAGGAUUAGAUACCCUGGUAGUCCAUGCCGUAAACGAUGAGUGCUAAGUGUUGGAGGGUUUCCGCCCUUCAGUGCUGCAGCUAACGCAUUAAGCACUCCGCCUGGGGAGUACGACCGCAAGGUUGAAACUCAAAGGAAUUGACGGGGGCCCGCACAAGCGGUGGAGCAUGUGGUUUAAUUCGAUGCUACGCGAAGAACCUUACCAGGUCUUGACAUCUUCUGCUAACCUAAGAGAUUAGGCGUUCCCUUCGGGGACGGAAUGACAGGUGGUGCAUGGUUGUCGUCAGCUCGUGUCGUGAGAUGUUGGGUUAAGUCCCGCAACGAGCGCAACCCUUAUUGUCAGUUGCCAGCAUUUAGUUGGGCACUCUGGCGAGACUGCCGGUGACAAACCGGAGGAAGGUGGGGAUGACGUCAAAUCAUCAUGCCCCUUAUGACCUGGGCUACACACGUGCUACAAUGGACGGUACAACGAGUCGCGAAACCGCGAGGUCAAGCUAAUCUCUUAAAGCCGUUCUCAGUUCGGAUUGCAGGCUGCAACUCGCCUGCAUGAAGUUGGAAUCGCUAGUAAUCGUGGAUCAGCAUGCCACGGUGAAUACGUUCCCGGGCCUUGUACACACCGCCCGUCACACCAUGAGAGUUUGUAACACCCAAAGCCGGUGAGGUAACCUUCGGGAACCAGCCGUCUAAGGUGGGACAGAUGAUUAGGGUGAAGUCGUAACAAGGUAGCCGUAGGAGAACCUGCGGCUGGAUCACCUCCUUUCUAA